UCUAACAGAUGAGCAAAGAAAGUAGUUUCUUGAGAUAGAACCUACUCCUAGUGACAAUACUGUGAA
rnacentral:pre_miRNA from 1 species